rnacentral:rRNA from 1 species
UACGGAGGGUGCAAGCGUUGUUCGGAUUUACUGGGCGUAAAGCGCGCGCAGGUGGGUGAACAAGUCGGAAGUGAAAUCUUGAGGCUCAACCUCGAGGCUGCUCCCGAAACUGUUCGCCUAGGGACUGGUAGAGGCUGGUAGAACUUCCCGGUGUAGCGGUGGAAUGCGUAGAGAUCGGGAAGAAUACCUGUGGCGAAGGCGGCCAGCUGGGCCAGAUCCGACACUGAGGCGCAAAAGCGUGGGGAGCAAACAGG